CGGCGACGGCCGCCUGAAGCACGAAGUGCGUGCGACCGCAGCCCGGCAGGUCACGCAACCCCAGGCCGCCGCGCCGCCUGCGUGCCUGCAGCCCGCCGGCCCCGCCCCCGCUGCCUGCUUCCGCCGCUUUAGUGCACGCUCGGGCUUCCUGGUGCGCCCGGAGCCUGCCUCGCGUGCCGACCCCGCCGCGUAAUCCGGCGAGGCAUCCCAGAUUCCGCCCGGCUCCAGACGCCCUCCACCGACUUUAGUUCGAGCAGGCUGUACAAGAAUCAUGGUGCCAGCAUCUGCUUCUGUUGAGGACUUCAGGUUGCUUCUACUCAUGGUGGAAGGCAAAGGGGAACUGCUGUAUGCAGAGCUCACAUGGCAAGAGAGCCCCCAUGAGGGACCUGCCCCCAUGAGGGACCUACCCCCAUGACCCAAACACCUCCCACCAGGCCUCACCUCCAAUGCUGGGGCUCAAAUUUCAACAUGAGGUUUGGAGGGGUCAAAUAUUCAAACCACAGCAACGGGAGAAGACAUUUCCUCAUGAAGAAGCAAUAUAAAUUGAAAUACAACCUAUAGAAUUUAUAUAGACAUAUGCAAUCUGCAGAAGCACAUGUUGGGACUGAAAAAGGACUGCACUAAUGAAUUCUGUCACAGAUGUGUUUCUUGUUCUCAUUUUAGAAUAAAUGAUAUCCAUAUCAGAUUAUCUGGGUGAUUAGCACAAUGGCUUUGAUUUAAAAAUAGGAAGGCUACAUGUUGACUGUUCCCUGAUGCUGACUGCUAUAGCCUAUGUGCUCUAUCCAACCCAGAAAGGGAGCCUCUCCUUCACCCAAACAGGCAGCUGUAUCAGUGUUUGGGUGAAAAGGAAGAUGGAUUUCAGCUGCCCUAAAAAACAAAAGUUGAAGAUGGCUUCUUCCCCUUCUCUCCCUCCUCCUCCUCCUCCUUCUUUUUCUUCUUCUUCCUCUUCCUCCUCCUCCUCCUCUACCCACCUCCGCUCCACUCCUCCUCCCCCACCUCCUCCUCUUCCUCCUCCUUCUGGAGGAGAGUCUGUCUUGAAUCAAAAAUGGGUUGGCCGGGCCAGUGGCUCACGCCUGUAAUCCCAGCACUUUGGGAGGCCGAGGCAGGUGGAACACUUGAGGUCAGGAGUUCGAGACCAGCCUGGCCAACAUGGUGAAACACUGUCUCUACUAAAAAUACAAAAAUUAGCCAGGCAUGGUGGCAGGCGCCUGUAAUCCCAACUACUCGGGAGGCUGAGGUGGGAGAAUGGCUUGAAUUCAGGAGGCAGAGGUUGCAGUGAGCCAAGAUCCCACCACCACACUCCAGCCUGGGCAACACAGCAAGACUCCGUCAAAAAAAAAAAAGAGUUAACUGAAUUACAACAGGAAACGUCUCCAGUACAGCCCAACUUGCUCCAGGUCCCAACAGGUGAAGCGAGCAUCUCAUCCCUGAUUCCUUCAACUCUGGAUUUAACAGACUCAUUUGGAAGCAGUGCAUUUUUAUCAGAGGGACUGAAAAGCCUUUCGAGAAUCAGUCAAGAAAAAGGAAUGCGCAUGAGAGUCAUGGUCACAUCAUGUGAUUGUAGGGAAAGCCUAGGCUAUCAUGGAGGGAAGAGAUUGGAUAAAUUAUUUGAAAAGCAAGCCUGUGAAUUGCUGUGGAGGAACAAUAGCCUGUCUCUUAUCUGGAGCCUUUCCAAGGAAAAGCAAAGGGGACCCUAGAAGGCUUCCUGGGAGACAGUUUAAUUCUGAAAACAAAGCAGUACUUCACCUCUUGUGUGUUGGGUAGAGCUGUAAAACAGAACACAGUCAAAAUAGUCAUUAGGGCCACAUCAAUGUCUGCCCAAAGUCAGGCGAGCAUUCCCAGGAAGGUGGGGGGCUGUGGCAGUUGCACACAUCAACCUCCUUUCUCCAUUGUCACACAGCAGAAGAGCGUGUUCCAUUCUACUAAAGUUGGGGCGGGGGGAGUUGAAUAAUUUAUUGACUGAAAACUGGGGGCCUGAGUUAGAUGGUAAAAAAGUUUAGAGUGCUGUUUUUUGUUUUUUAAGUUAUGUUUGUUUUAUAUAUUGAAGUGCUUAAAAUGUAUUUUAAAAAUUCAAAACAUCCCAGAAAUUCAGCAACUUGAGGAGACAAUAGUGACGAACAUUUUAUGGCAACAUUUGGACACUUUAAAGAUUAUUUCAGGAACUUUAAUGCUGAUAAAUGAGAGAAGGGACAACUUUUCCUAACUAUAACAUUUCGGCACCUGAGUACAGGGAUCAAAACAAGAGCAAGCAUUUCAAAUUCAUAUUGUGAAGCACCUACAAAAAGAUUAUUCUGUUAGCCUUCAUAAUGUGGAGAGUUCAUCUUUUCAUCUUAUCAAAUAAAAAUAUACCCAAAUUCUUGAACAGGCAUUCAGUUAGGAAAAGAGGGUGGGGUGAUGAAAUGUGUUCUCAUUCAGCAAACACUUUGCAGAUAUUUCUAGUCAAAGAUCCCUGUGGUCUAGGCUAGUGAGAGAAAAACGUGCCCUCUGCCCAGUGACAGCGGCUGCACGGGGAUCAGCUUUCACCAAUGCAGGCAGGGGAACAAAGGGCAGGCUUCAUCUGCCUGCAUCCCACAGGCCCUUGCGCAGGGGAGUUCCAUUUCAGUGCCCAUCACAUGACCUCUCAGGCCAAAACGGUUUUUAAUAAUUCUGAUUUUGAAUAUCAAAUGGAAGUGAAAAGUACAUUUAGGAAGGAAGGGCUCUAUCCUUAUUGAAGAACAUGCUCUAUGCAAACAGGUUGGACAGGCACUAGCUCUUGUAGAGCUAUGGUUCUCAGCUUUGGCAACACACUGGAUCACCUCCUCUAAAAGGUACUGAUGCCUGCUUUCCUCCCUCUUCUGCCCCUAAAGAAAGUAGAAUUUAAUUUUAAGCUCUAGGGUGUGGCCUGGGCAUCAGGACUUUUUUUUUUUUUUUGACAGAGUCUCACUGUGUCACCUAGGCUAGAGUGCAGUGUGCAGUCUUGGCUCACUGCAGCCUCAAUCUCCCAGAUUCAAGAGAUCCUCCUGCCUCAGCCCCCUAAGUAACUAGGAUUACAGGCACGCACCACCACACCAGGCUAAUUUUUGUAUUUUUUGUGGAGACGGUCUUUCACUGUGUUGCCCAAGCUGGUCUUGAACUCCUGAGCUCAGGUGAUCCACCUGCCUCAGCCUCCCAAAGUGCUGGGAUUACAGGCAUAAGCCACAGCCCCUGGCCGGCAUCAGGAUUUUUAAAAGCUCCCAAGUGCAGUCAAGGUUGAGAACAGCUGCUAUAGUGUGACUUAAUACAGCAUUCAAAGCCUCUCAUAAUCUAGCCUCAGCCUAAUUUUUCCUUCCAGCACCCCAUCUCAGCCUGUACAUAAGCCACAGAGACAUUCUCACUGUUCUCUGAAUGUACUUGGCUCAUUCAUAUUUCCAGGCUUUCUUGCACACACAUUGUCUGACUCUGGGCACCUAAGGAAAGCUCAGCUCCAAUGUCCUCUCCUCUUCCGUGAAACCUUUCCUGUCAAGCCCACCUUCACUACUAAGUCACUCCUUGCUCCUAGAUCAGAUGGAAGAAUGCUUUGGCAUAUCUCUACUGGAGCCCUUCUCACUUUACAUUAAAGAUAACUGUAUAUAGGUUAGCCCACUCCUCCUCCCUAAUAGCAUGUGGACCCUUUGUAGUUUCAGCAGUAAGCACAGGGCUUGGUUUCUAUGAAUACUUAUUGAGUGAAUGGAUGAAUGAAUGCCAAUCUUGUACAUUGUUGAUGUUCACCACAUUGAACCCAGUUCUCAAACCAGGAUCACUUGGGAGAUUCUGAGUCAAUAAUUUGAAGGUCUGUAUCAUUCCUACUCAAAGUGUGGUCCAUAAGCCAGCAGUGGCUAUAUUAUCUGGGAGCUUGUUGCAAAUGCAGAAUAUGUAUUUUAACAAGAUCCCCAGGCAAUUCAUAUGCACAUUACACUUUGAGCUAUAUUUUUAACAAGCUCCCAGGUGAUUCCUUUGUAGCCCGGCUGCUGACCUGCAUUUCGUAACCACUGUUCUAGACCUUCAUUUGCUGAAUGGAGUGGUCCCUGUGUGAUUGCCUACAGGUUUCUUCUAGUCUCCCAUUUUUCUUCCUAGUUAACAAAGCCCAAAUUUUGUUUGGAAGGGUGAUCAGCCCUUCACCCAUCAGGCCUUUGCCUCAGGGAAGCUUGACCCCACCUUUAGACCCCAUGUUGGGCCUGAGUAGUCCAAAGGCAUAUCCCAUUCCCCUGGCCAGGGAUUAGUUUAGGGAUAGACAUGUGACCAAAUUCAGCUCAAUAAAAUGUGAGUCUGCAGGGGCAAUCUAGAAAAAGUGUCCUCUUCCCUAAGAGAAAGCCACAGGAGGGUAAAAAAAUGUCUCAGAACAUUGUCCUGCCUAAACAUGAUGCCUCGGACAUUCUGCUUCUGUCUUGCUACCUGCAGCACAAGGAAAUCCAACACUGAGGGGUCACAGCAGAGGGACGGAAAGCACCUGGAUCUUACAACAUUGUUGAGCUCUUUUGUCUCUUGACUUCUAGUUAUGAGAUGUAAUUUUCUUACUGUUAAAGUCAUUUCUGUUCCUUGCAACCAAAAGCAUUCAUUGAUACACUGAAUAUAGUACAAUAUUUAUUCAAUCAAUAAAUGCCUGGCAAAUUACCCAAGUAUGAGUAAUUGUAGUUUGUCUCACAGCUAUUCUUUCAAGUAAAAGUGAUGCUCCAUGACAAAAACGGCUAGUUUAGCUUGUAACACAAACAACUGCACAAGUGCUUUUCCUUCAGACAAGUAUUGUACUUUCAUAUGUAACAGAUGUAUGUGCUUUAUGCAUGUUCCCAUUUCAUAACACAGAGUAUUAGAAACAUGUAUACUUCAGGGUUGAGAUCUCAUAAAAUGAGUAGUUUUCACAGCUUCAUUGAGGACACUCUUAAAUGAAACUGGCAGGUUUUUUUUUUUGAGUACUAGGAAAUGGGUGGCAGUAAAGAAUACAGUAACUAUUAAUAUAGUGUGGUGCUACUGCCUUGAAUUGUGCUAAGGCAUCGGCAGUUUUCGUCAUCAUUGCUUUGACAUCAUCAGUGCAGGUGUCAAUACAGUGAAAAAGGUAAAUGGCAUCUUGGUGUGAUUAUGGAAAUAGAUUGAUCUAAUGGACCGCCUGAAGUAGGCUUGGCCUCCCCAGGGAUCUUAGAGAACUGCUAUAGUAGGUGAUUACUUGGGAAACAAAAUCUCUUAGGAGAAGUUAUGGAUACAAAAUGGUUAUUGUUGAGGCCUGGAAGAGACUGAAUUAUGUGCCAUAUCAUGGUUCUGACUCCUUUAUUUGGGUCAAUGUCACUAUUGCCUCAGUGACUGCCAGCACAUGGGGCUGGUAACAGAGGAGUCCUAGGAGUAUCCAGGUGCUGAGGUGCUUGUGAGGCCUUAGGCUGGAGGGCACAGCAAAUGGGCUCACCCAGUGCUACCAGUUACAGACACAUUCACAAGACUGUGAAUCCACAACUCAGUUCUUUAUUUCCCUCUUCAGCCUGUUAGGUAAUUUAUCAUGUACUCAGCUUAGAAACACACUAUUUAGUGUAGUCUGAUUUCUGUUUAUAAUUCUUAAAAUACUCUUAUUAGUGAAGUCUUCUAAGUUCAGCCUUUUCUUGAGCUAAAAUUUCUCCGAUGCUGAAUAACUAUUAAAUAAUGAAUGUGUUGUUUCACUCGGAGGGGCAACAAGAUUCCCUCAAGCAGCACCUACCCCCACUGCUUGCCAGAAACAGGCAUUUUGGCAACACCACAAAGCACCAACUUUCGAGGUCUCACUGAGCCAGUCCUUGUUUCCAGGAAAGAAAACCCAUGUUCUUGAGCCAGAACGAAUGCUCUAAAGGCUGAGAUUCUCUUUUCUCUUGCUAGAGAGGGAAGAAUGACAAUGGUUUGCUUGGAUUCCUAUAGUGGGAAAGCCAUCUAGAAAUUCUAGCCAGGCAGAUAUCUCUCACAUGGAGAUACUGUCCCUUGACUCAUGAAUGCACUGUGGAAUUUGCCCUGGUGCCUUCUGAAGGGUUAAAGAAAAGGAUCCUAUUCCUUACUAGCAGUGAUGCUGAGGCCUGAAUCAAAUUAGGGAAAAGGCCAGUCAUGCUGUUGCCUGCUAUAUUUACUGAGAUAAUUUCUUAAAGCACAGAAGCAAGACAGACAAUCCAAAAAAUCGACAUGAACUUGUUCUGCAGAGUAAAGAUAGUUUCUGUCUUACUGCAUUGCUAUGAAAAAAAAAAAAUUUUAGAUCUGAAUGUGGCAAGGAAACAAGCUCCCUAGAUCGUCAGAGAAAUGACUGAGUUUUAGCAAGUUUUUCCUAAUUUUUGACCUAAAAUGUUCUUUCCUUCAGUGCCUCCCUGGAGUUUUUGUUUUGUUUUAUUUUUGUUUUCUAACACAAAAAAACACCUGCAUCACACAUUCUUACCCUCACUUUUGUGCUCUGUGUUGGAAACACAGGAGUUGUAAUGAUGUCUUUGGCUCUGGGCCUCUAAAUCUUCAUAGUGAAUUCAUCAAACUCUACACCUCAGGACCAGUCCAAAGCUUGGAAGGGAAAGAGGAGGAAGCAGGGGUUAUAAACAUACGCCAGGCAAUUUUUUUCCCCGUAUCUAGGUCAUUUUACUUUUCUCUGUGUAAAAUGCCUGGCCUUGGUGUUUUUGAGUGUGCAUGUAAACUCAGACUUGGCAGUGGGGAACAUGCAGUCAAACUUCUACAAUAUUCCUGGUGAUUGGCCUUUUAUAUCCCUAUCCUUGCUACUCCUUUUACCUUGACAUUGAACAUUUGCUCAGUACUUUAGCUCUUAUUAUUGUGUUGGUAGAACACCUUUUUCCCCUUAAGCACAGUUCUAGUACAUUAUUUCUGUGUUGUAUUAGAAAAAGGGAUGGAGCAAUAAGUUGGGAGAUUUUGCAUCCUAGUUCUGCCAUUAAAUGGCCAUAGAUACUGGAAAAGUCAUGUUCCUGUUCUGGGCUUCAUCUGUAAAAUGGGGAUUGGAGAGAGGGCUAAAUUUCCAGUGGUCCAUAGAUCUGGUGACGUGGUUUAGAUAUUUGUCUCCUCCAAAUCUCGUGUUGCAAUGUGAUCCCCAGUGCUGAAGGUGGGGCCUAGUGGGAGGUGUUUGGAUCAUGGGGGCAGAUUCCACAUGAAUGGCUUGGUGUCAUGCCAACAGUAACGAGUGAGUUCUUGAUCUAUGAUCUAUUAGUUCACGUGAGAGCUGGUUGUUAAAAGAGCCCAGCACCUCUCCCAACUCUCCCUUGCUUUCCUCUCUCGCGUGUGAUACACUGGCUCCCCUUUUGCCUUCUGCUAUGAAUAUAAGCUUCCUGAGGCCGUCACCAGAAGCAAAUGCUGGCUGUAUGUUUCUUAUACAGCCUGCAGAACUCUGAGCCCAAUAAGCUUCUUUUCUUAAUAAAUUAUCCAGUCUCAGGUAUUCCUUUAUAGCAAUGCAAAAUGGACUAACACAACUAACAUUUUUAGCAAAGUCUUCUUUCCACCACUUCCUUCCACUGGGCAUUUUAAGACAGCAGUGCUGAGAUAGGCUUUUGGGAACCAAAACCUAGAGUUGAUGGGUUCUAGGUCCUUGUCAAGCCUAAUGUUAGUUUUUUUCUCUCUUUCUCCAAAUGUCAGGUUUUCUAUCACCCCACCACUUCAAUAGUUUGCACUUAAUUUACCGAAGCUUCUGUGCUUUCUAGGUGGUUCACAUGGCUUCACUCCCCCUAACUCUCCGUGCUAUAUUCUAAACCUUUCACAGUCUAAAAGACAUGGGCAUUUGGUAAUUUUUAAAGUACCUUCUUCAUUUAAAAGAAUGAAAUGGAGUCUCAGAGAAGUCAGCUGAUGGCAAGCUCUCACAAGUUGGGUCAAAGGACAGCAAGUAGGUGAGGCGAAGCCCUGAAUUCCUCAAGUAGCACAUCCUAGUGGCCGCAUGAAGAGGCUUCUGGUGAAAGGGAAGAAAAGAGUGCUGCCAGUUUCUAGGGAAGCAGACGGGCAUAUGAGUGCUGCCCAGAGCUGCCACACACAGGGCCGCUGAGGGCCAACUUAAGUUCCUACUCCUGUGACCAAGAAUGACAAGCUCCCACCUACAUUGCUGGCCUACAUGUUUGAGACAUUCAAGCACUCAGGGAAUACAAACAUUUACUCUCUGGAUGUGCGAUGUUAGUGCUGCCUGUGACCAAAGGAUGAACUAAAGAAAAUAAAAUUAAAAAGAAACAGUGAGAGAAGCCAGUUGGCUACCUGUAGAAAAAGAGGGGAAUCUUGGUGGUUCUAAGGGAAACAAAGAUAACAAACUAGGAAAAUAAUUCAAGAACACACAGACCAAGUAGUAAUAUACAUGAAAAUACAGCAUGAAAGAAGAUCCCUUCAUAUAAAAGUUAAACAUUGAGAAGAGGAUUUUAUGUGGUGACUUAAAACUAUUACCCCCUUCUAUGUUUUCUCCAAGAGGCUAGUAAGGACUCAUUUAAAACAAGCAUUAGAAAUAAGAUUUGCCAAUAAGAUAAUUGAAACAAUAUAUAGAAAUUGAGACAAAAUUCUGGGCACAUCUUACCUAUAUAUUUUGUUAAGCCACUAUAAAAAAAUAGUGACAUUUCCAGUUAAUAUGCUUAUCAUUCUAAACCUACCAUCAGAUAACUCAAAAUUAUAAGGAGUUGGCAUCAGGAACUAAAGGAAAAUAGCCUAUCAGAAAGUCAACAGUGGCAGAACUGCUUAAAUAUAUGGGGCAGCAUGAUGACUUAAAAUCUUAGGUCAAUUAAUCUGUAAUAACCUUGGAGAAACUUUCCUAAAUUUUUGUGCCUCAAUGUUCUCAUAAAUACAAUGGAACAAUACUGUUUCAUGGCUCUGUUAUGAGGAAAUGAAUAGCCUAAAUUGCCACCACAGUUCUAAUUAAAAUGUUACCUUGAGUGCAGUGAGCAAAACCUCAUCUUUAAGAACCAAUAGAAGCUAGGUGUGGUGGCAUACAUCUGUGGUCCCAGCUACUUGGGAGGCUGAGGUGGGAGGAUUGCUUGAGCCCAGGAAUUUGAGGCUGCAGUGAGCUAUAAUCGCGCCACUGCACUCCAGCCUGGGCACAGAGUGAGUCCCUGUCAAUAAAUAAAUAAAUAGGAAAAGGAAAAAAAAGUCUUCUGAAAGUUGGCCAAACCACAAGGAAAAAGCAAUUCAGUUGAGGGAAUAGAGGAAAGGCUGACCCAGCUUUCAGCUUCUAUAUCUUCCCUUUAAUACAGAGACAAGGCAAUCAUAUUUUAUAAUUUUUAUUAUGCACUCAUUUUGGAUGUUUUCCUUAUGAAUUAUAAGUAAGUUUCAGAAUUCAGUGAGUUUAAAGAACACAUUUCCUUCAUAGGCUAUGUUGCUUAUGGUAAUCUUUCACCUGUCAUAGGAAUGUUUGGCCUAUUUAAAGGUUGCAGGUGUGUGAGAACAGAUGGUAUUGAGAAUGGGGACACAUUCAGGCUACAAAAAGUCUGCCAAAAGCCAAUUUGAGGUUAAUGCUUUAAGAGCAAUGGUGCUCUUUUCUUUGUCUUUCUCCUCUGUACAUGGGGAGCAGGUACUCUACCAGAACCAUGUCCUGGAGAUUUAAUUUGUGUUUUUUUUUCUUUUCUGUUCUUUAGUGAGAGAAGCACAAGAUACUACUACCACCUUAGAAUCAAUGCAGCAAGCUUCCCUGAGAACAGUGG
rnacentral:lncRNA from 10 species